GGCAGUGUAGUAUAAUGGGUAAGGAGCUGGUCUUGUAACCCAAAGGUCACCGGUUCGAUACCCAGGUAGGACACUGCCG
rnacentral:tRNA from 1 species